AUGGCUGGCGCUACUCGUUCCACGAACGAAAAACUUGACAAUUUGGCCCAGGUGCUUACUCGUUUCCAAGAUCAUUUUAAUCUUCGCAUGGAUGGGGUUACUAACUGUGUCGAGUCCUUAGAAUGCUGCUCUCCGACACCAGAAACCAUCAACCUCCAUCAUGAUAAUGAAUCGGAACACACCCCACGCCAUAUUCUCAAACUCUACGCCAGGCUUAGGCUUGGCAAAGCCUAG
rnacentral:lncRNA from 1 species